UAGGGAAUCUUGGACAAUGGGCGAAAGCCUGAUCCAGCCAUGCCGCGUGAGUGAAGAAGGCCUUAGGGUUGUAAAGCUCUUUUGGCGGGGACGAUAAUGACGGUACCCGCAGAAUAAGCCCCGGCUAACUUCGUGCCAGCAGCCGCGGUAAUACGAAGGGGGCUAGCGUUGUUCGGAAUUACUGGGCGUAAAGCGCUCGCAGGCGGAUUGAUAAGUCGGGGGUGAAAUCCCGGGGCUCAACCUCGGAAUUGCCUUCGAUACUGUCUAUCUAGAGUCCGGGAGAGGUGAGUGGAAUUCCUAGUGUAGAGGUGAAAUUCGUAGAUAUUAGGAAGAACACCAGUGGCGAAGGCGGCUCACUGGCCCGGAACUGACGCUCAUGAGCGAAAGCGUGGGGAGCAAACAGGAUUAGAUACCCCCGUAGUCC
rnacentral:rRNA from 1 species